rnacentral:rRNA from 1 species
CCUACGGGAGGCAGCAGUAGGGAAUAUUGCUCAAUGGGGGAAACCCUGAAGCAGCAACGCCGCGUGGAGGAUGAAGGUUUUCGGAUUGUAAACUCCUUUUGUUAGAGAAGAUAAUGACGGUAUCUAACGAAUAAGCACCGGCUAACUCCGUGCCAGCAGCCGCGGUAAUACGGAGGGUGCAAGCGUUACUCGGAAUCACGGGGCGUAAAGAGCGCGUAGGCGGGAGAGCAAGUCAGAUGUGAAAUCCUAGGGCUUAACCAUAGAAUUGCAUUUGAAACUGUUAUUCUAGAGUAUGGGAGAGGUAGGUGGAAUUCUUGGUGUAGGGGUAAAAUCCGUAGAGAUCAAGAGGAAUACUCAUUGCGAAGGCGACCUGCUAGAACAUAACUGACGCUGAUGCGCGAAAGCGUGGGGAGCAAACAGGAUUAGAUACCCCUGUAGUC